rnacentral:tmRNA from 1 species
GGGGUCGUUUUGGUUUUGACAGCGUAGAUCUUUGAAAGUGUAAGCAUGUCGUGCGUUGGAUAAUUAGCACGUUAAUCUGAAUAUUCAAACUUCAAAUGGCAAUACUCAGUAUGCCAUGGCUGCCUAAUCAGUGAUUAGAUAGUCAUUAGGGCCGCCGGGCCGGUUGGUCUGUUACCAUGCCCCGCCGCCGACUAAAAACAAAUACAGAAUGCUGCUACCGAAGGCUGUGCCGGUAGCUUAAGACCAUUCAGCUAAGGAUCAGGUUGGUUUGUUGAUUCCCUGCCUGUUCCCGACAAGUAAUAAUCAAAUAAGCAUGUAGAAAGCUUUUGGAGGAUAUGUUUGGACAGGGGUUCGAGUCCCCUCGACUCCACGA